GGAAAAUAAACUAUGUCAAAAGCUACUAAGAGAAUGGAAUGGAGUUUAGCAAAAAGGUGACUUUUGUUACAUAGUUACAUUAGAGACCUGGGGCCAGAAUUCAGAUAAUAUGAGACUAAAAGGAAAGCAGUGGAAGAAAAAAACAUGACAGGCAGCAGUUGGAGCAGGAAUCCAGUACAAAACCUACUAUAUUGCCAGAGAGUGUUUAAUCAGGCAUUAUUUAGGGAAAUUAAUUAUCUCAUAAACAUACAUGAGACAUUUAUUUGAAACUAAGAACAUGAUAUUUUUAGGGAUGCAGAGGUAAUCAAAAAUUCAUAGUGAAGGAGAUGAUUAU
rnacentral:lncRNA from 1 species